GGAACCCAUAAGAGGUCCAGCCUGCCCAGUGACCCUGUUCAACGGCCGCGGUAUCCUAACCGUGCGAAGGUAGCGUAAUCACUUGUUCUUUAAAUGAGGACUAGUAUGAAUGGCACCACGAAGGUUAUACUGUCUCCUUCCUCUAAUCAGUGAAACUAAUCUCCCCGUGAAGAAGCGGGGAUAAGCCUAUAAGACGAGAAGACCCUAUGGAGCUUUAAACACAGUAAUAAAUGCCCCCCCCCCUUUUUCUAUUCAAAUCUCCGGAAAACUACUUUAUCUGAGCAUCCUAUUUACAAGUUUUAGGUUGGGGUGACCGCGGAGUAAAAAAUAACCUCCACAGUGAAUGGAAUCUUUUUCCUAAACUCAGGGCCACAACCCUAAAAAUCAAUAAAUUGACACCCAUUGACCCAAUAUUUUGAUCAAUGAACCAAGUUACCCUAGGGAUAACAGCGCAAUCCACUUCAAGAGCUCCUAUCGACAAGUGGGUUUACGACCUCGAUGUUGGAUCAGGGUACCCCAGUGGUGCAGCCGCUGCUAAAGGUUCGU
rnacentral:rRNA from 1 species